UACGGGGGGGGCAAGCGUUGUUCGGAAUUACUGGGCGUAAAGGGCUCGUAGGCGGCCAACUAAGUCCGACGUGAAAUCCCCGGGCUUAACCUGGGAACUGCAGUCGAGACUGUCUAGCUAGAGUAUGGGAGAGGGAAGUGGAAUUUCAGGUGUAGCGGUGAAAUGCGUAGAUAUCUGAAGGAACAUCAGUGGCGAAAGCGACUUCCUGGACCAAUACUGACGCUCAUGUGCGAAAGCGUGGGGAGCAAACAGG
rnacentral:rRNA from 1 species